UGUGUAGGCGGUUGCUUAAGUUUGGUGUGAAAUCUCCCGGCUCAACUGGGAGGGUGCGCCGAAUACUGAGUGACUCGAGUGCGGGAGAGGAGAGUGGAAUUCCUGGUGUAGCGGUGAAAUGCGUAGAUAUCAGGAGGAACACCGGUGGUGUAGACGGCUCUCUGGACCGUAACUGACGCUGAGACACGAAAGCGUGGGUAGCAAACAGGAUUAGAUACCCUGGUAGUCCACGCCCUAAACGAUGCAUAUUUGGUGUGGGCCGUUCAGUCGGUCCGUGCCGGAGCUAACGCGUUAAAUAUGCCGCCUGGGGAGUACAGUCGCAAGGCUGAA
rnacentral:rRNA from 1 species